AGGCUUACACAUGCAAGUCCAAGGUGAAGCGGGGCUUCGGCCCCGUGGAAACUGGCGCACGGGUGAGUAACGCGUGGGAAUCUACCCCGGGGUGGGGAAUAACCGCUGGAAACGGCGGCUAAUACCGCAUACGCCUUGCGAGGGAAAGCUUUAGCGCCCUGGGACGAGCCCGCGUCGGAUUAGCUUGUUGGUGAGGUAACGGCUCACCAAGGCAUCGAUCCGUAGCUGGUCUGAGAGGAUGAUCAGCCACACUGGGACUGAGACACGGCCCAGACUCCUACGGGAGGCAGCAGUGGGGAAUAUUGGACAAUGGGGGCAACCCUGAUCCAGCCAUGCCGCGUGCGUGAAGAA
rnacentral:rRNA from 1 species